GAUGAACGCUAGCGGCAGGCUUAAUACAUGCAAGUCGAGGGGCAGCAUGACUGUAGCAAUAUAGGUUAUGGCGACCGGGAAACGGGAGCGGAGCACGUACAAAACCUUGCUUCGGGCGGGGAAUAGCCCAGAGCAAUUUGGAUUACUACCCCACAGCAAUACGCAAUGGCAUCGCUUCGUAAGCAAAGAUUUAUUACUUGAAGAUGGCUGUGCGUCUGAUAAGAUGGUUGGCAGGGUAACGGCCUACCAAGUAUACGAUCAGUAACUGGUGUGAGAGCACGACCAGUCACACGGGCACUGAGACACGGGCCCGACUCCUACGGGAGGCAGCAGUAAGGAAUAUUGGUCAAUGGACGAAAGUCUGAACCAGCUAUGCCGAGUGGAGGAUGAAGGCCCUCUGGGUUGUAAACUUCUUUUAUAUGGGACGAAAAAGGGCCUUUCUAGGUCAACUGACGGUACCAUGUGAAUAAGCACCGGCUAACUCCGUGCCAGCAGCCGCGGUAAAAC
rnacentral:rRNA from 1 species